UGUUACCUUGUUACGACUUCACCCCAGUCGCUGAUCCUACCGUGGCCGCCUGCCCCCCGAAGGUUAGCGCAGCGUCGUCAGGUAAAACCAACUCCCAUGGUGUGACGGGCGGUGUGUACAAGGCCCGGGAACGUAUUCACCGCGUCAUGCUGUUACGCGAUUACUAGCGAUUCCGACUUCAUGCUCUCGAGUUGCAGAGAACAAUCCGAACUGAGACAGUCUUUAGGGAUUAACCCAUUGUCACUGCCAUUGUAGCACGUGUGUAGCCCAACCCGUAAGGGCCAUGAGGACUUGACGUCAUCCACACCUUCCUCCGACUUAUCAUCGGCAGUUUCCUU
rnacentral:rRNA from 1 species